GGUCAAAGUCUCGUUCCCAGCCACAAAUAUGAUUAAGAAAGGAUUUAAAAUUAGCCACCUUUGUUCUUACAUUUGAGUGGGUUUGACAAACAUCUUGCCCAUUCUGCAUCCUGGUCGGCACAAGCUGUGGUCAAUGUCCCUUUGGUUCCCCUCUACGGGAUUACUACUGCGGACGCGGCGGGAGGAGGUGCCCUUCCUCUUUCUACUGAGAGAUCUCCCCAACGGACUCAUAUGCCGUCUGCUGUCCCAUCCAACGACCCCCCACUUAUGGAAAAUAACGACACGCUCGUCUACUGCGGGGAAGAUGCAGUCUCGUGCCUCUCUUCGUACGUGCUGUAGCGCCGAGUGAUGCAACAUACAAUGUAUUAUGUAUUGACAAAAACCUUUGCAUGGUACAAAUAUUGUUGAAAAAAUACCAACUUUCUUUAUUUUGUCCAUUAUUUCAAUGCACCUGAACACAC